rnacentral:rRNA from 1 species
ACACAUGCAAGUCGAGGGGCAGCAUGAACUUAGCUUGCUAAGUUUGAUGGCGACCGGCGCACGGGUGAGUAACACGUAUCCAACCUGCCGAUGACUCGGGGAUAGCCUUUCGAAAGAAAGAUUAAUACCCGAUGGCAUAGUUCUUCCGCAUGGUAGAACUAUUAAAGAAUUUCGGUCAUCGAUGGGGAUGCGUUCCAUUAGGUUGUUGGCGGGGUAACGGCCCACCAAGCCUUCGAUGGAUAGGGGUUCUGAGAGGAAGGUCCCCCACAUUGGAACUGAGACACGGUCCAAACUCCUACGGGAGGCAGCAGUGAGGAAUAUUGGUCAAUGGACGAGAGUCUGAACCAGCCAAGUAGCGUGAAGGAUGACUGCCCUAUGGGUUGUAAACUUCUUUUAUACGGGAAUAAAGUGAGGCACGUGUGCCUUUUUGUAUGUACCGUAUGAAUAAGGAUCGGCUAACUCCGUGCCAGCAGCCGCGGUAAUACGGAGGAUCCGAGCGUUAUCCGGAUUUAUUGGGUUUAAAGGGAGCGUAGGCGGACGCUUAAGUCAGUUGUGAAAGUUUGCGGCUCAACCGUAAAAUUGCAGUUGAUACUGGGUGUCUUGAGUACAGUAGAGGCAGGCGGAAUUCGUGGUGUAGCGGUGAAAUGCUUAGAUAUCACGAAGAACUCC